GUGUAGUGUGCGUGUAGUAUGAGGUGGUGGUGUUUGUACCGAGGUGUAGUGUGCGUUUAGUAUGAGGUGGUGGUGUUUGUACCGAGGUGUAGUGUGCGUGUAGUAUGAGGUGGUGGUGUUUGUACCGAGGUGUAGUGUGCGUGUAGUAUGAGGUGGUGGUGUUUGUACCGAGGUGUAGUGUGCGUGUAGUAUGAGGUGGUGGUGUUUGUACCGAGGUGUAGUGUGCGUGUAGUAUGAGGUGGUGGUGUUUGUACCGAGGUGUAGUGUGCGUGUAGUAUGAGGAGGUGGUGUUUGUACCGAGGUGUAGUGUGCGUGUAGUAUGAGGUGGUGGUGUUUGUAUCGAGGUGUAGUGUGUGUGCAGUAUGAGGUGGUGGUGUUUGUAUCGAGGUGUAGUGUGCGUGUAGUAUGAGGUGGUGGUGUUUGUACCGAGGUGUGGUGUGCGUGUAGUAUGAGGUGGUGGUGUUUGUACCGAGGUGUAGUGUGCGUGUAGUAUGAGGUGGUGGUGUUUGUACCGAGGUGUAGUGUGCGUGUACACUACACAGUACGUGUGGCGUUGGAAAUGAACUUACAGUCUUGGAAUGUGUAUUGGCCAAUCAGAAUGGAAUACUCAACAACGCUGUGUUGUUGAACAGCGUUUUGUUCUUAGGCGUCGUUGUGUAGUACAGGCGGAACGAGCGCUCCCCCUGGUGGCGGAAACGAUUCAUGAUGGUUCCACUUGGAGUCUGGCUGCGUUCCCAGUCCCCUACUUUUCCCCUUUUACUUGCUGUACGUACUGCAGCUACCAUUACAAAGUAACAGUGUGC
ensembl:lncRNA